rnacentral:rRNA from 1 species
UGGGGAAUAUUGCACAAUGGGGGGAAACCCGUACGAUGCAGCGACGCCGCGUGAACGAAGAAGUAUUUCGGUAUGUAAAGCUCUAUCAGCAGGGAAGAAGAAUGACGGUACCUGACUAAGAAGCACCGGCUAAAUACGCGCCAGCAGCCGCGGUAAUACGUAUGGUGCAAGCGUUAUCCGGAUUUACUGGGUGUAAAGGGAGCGCAGGCGGUACGGCAAGUCUGAUGUGAAAGCCCGGGGCUCAACCCCGGUACUGCAUUGGAAGCUGUCGGACUAGAGUGUCGGAGGGGUAAGUGGAAUUCCUAGUGUAGCGGUGAAAUGCGUAGAUAUUAGGAGGAAUACCAGUGGCGAAGGCAGUCUCCUGGGCAAAUACUGACGCUCAUAUGCGAAAGCGUGGGUAGCAAACAGGAUUAGAUACCCUGGUAGU